AGUAUGUUCCAGGCGCACACCGCACAGGAGGAUCUGGCAGUGAAGGAGGGAAAGGGUGGCUACAGUGCACUACCGCACGUCAGUGCUAGUGUUCGCAUCCCCUAGCAAAGUCCGUCCUUGAUCCUCUCUAUGUAAUCCAUCACGAAGCUCUCAUUGUACACACUCCCUUACCACCCGGGAUUUAUGGAGAUCAGCGGCAGCCUCUGCUUGAUUUAUUAGGCUGUGCUGUGAACGGAGCUCGGAGGUGCUGGGGGAGGGCUGCAGUGUCCAUACAGUUAUUACUGUGUGCAGCCAGCUCCCAGCAUAGGACAGGGCUAGGCACAAGCCAGGGGUGAGGGCUGCUCUGAACAUUCAGCUCAUGGAGCCCAAGAGGCUGAGCUGCAGGGAGACAUGUAAUAGUAGCCAGUAGCAACAGCAGGUUGGAUCCUGUCCCCUCUCUCUCCCUGGCCAUAUUACACCAUCUCUAGCCUGCACAUCAAGUAGUGGGAGUCUGAGGUGGUGGCUGCAAUGUAUACAUGUCAGGGUUCCAGGCAAGUCUGCUGAGGAAUCUGCCUCACUUGCUGAAUUGAGCUGAAAAAGACCAAGAAAGCGGCUGUUAUAUAUUAUACUGAAACAAGGCCGAUCUCGCAGUAUUACGGAGUCUUGGAUGUGUAAUAACCAAAAGAAUGUGUCACAUCAGGAUCUGUGCGUGACAAAAGCGACACAGCCUCUACCACACAAGUUGCCUUAGUCCUCCUUGGAGACCACAUUAAAAAACUCUCAAUCAU